rnacentral:rRNA from 1 species
GCACCAGAUWAUAACUGAUGCAAUAUCGACUCUGUUGAAUAAAAUUCUAGGUAGAAUUAUGAUAAUGACAUUAUCUGCCUACAUGUCUUGACCAAAUUACGUGCCAGCAGUCGCGGUAAUACGUAGAAGACUAGUGUUAUUCAUCUUUAAUAGGUUUAAAGGGUACCUAGACGGUAAAUCAAGCCUGCGAGGGGACUAGUUUACUAGAGUUACUUGUGAGGGGGUAUUAAAGUACUAAUGGUGUAGAGAUGAAAUUCUGUCAUACCUCUUUUCGGAAGAAAAACUAUGGCACUGGUAUAGGCGAAAGCAUCCCCUUAUGUGAUAACUGACGUUGAAGGACGAAGGCUUUGUGUCGCGAACAGGAUUAGAUACCCCAGUAGUCAAAGCAGAAAAUGAUGAAUGUCAUAGAUUAGGCAUAUAAUAGUUUAUUCUAUAAAUGAAAGUGUAAGCAUUCCACCUCAAGAGUAAUUUGGCAACAUUGGAACUGAAAUCAUUAGACCGUUUCUGAAACCAGUAGUGAAGUAUGUUGUUUAAUUAGAUAAUCCUCAAAAAACCUUACCACAACUUGAAUAUUUAUGUUUACUUUUUUAUAAAAAAAAUAUAUUUACAAGCGUUGCACGGCUGUCUUCAGUUAAKGUCGUGAGAUUUUGGUUAGUUCCAUUAAAUUAAC